rnacentral:rRNA from 1 species
UACGAAGGGGGCGAGCGUUGUUCGGAUUUACUGGGCGUAAAGGGCGCGCAGGCGGCUCAUUUUGUCAGGCGUGAAAUCCCCGGGCUUAACCUGGGAACUGCAUUUGUGACUGCAUGGCUGGAGUGUUGCAGGGGAGACUGGAAUUCCUGGUGUAGCGGUGAAAUGCGCAGAUAUCAGGAGGAACACCGGUGGCGAAGGCGGGUCUCUGGGCAACAACUGACGCUGGAGGAGCGAAAGCGUGGGGAGCGAACAGG